AACGCGUGGGAACGUGACCCUUUGCUACGGAAUAGUCCUGGGAAACUGGGGGUAAUACCGUAUGUGCCCUUCGGGGGAAAGAUUUAUCGGCAAAGGAUCGGCCCGCGUUGGAUUAGGUAGUUGGUGGGGUAAUGGCCUACCAAGCCGACGAUCCAUAGCUGGUUUGGGAGGAUGAUCAGCAACACUGGGACUGAGACACGGCCCAGACUCCUACGGGAGGCAGCAGUGGGGAAUCUUAGACCAAUGGGCGCAAGCCUGAUCUAGCCAUGCCGCGUGGACGAUGAAGGCCUUAGGGUUGUAAAGUCCUUUCAGCUGGGAAGAUAAUGACGGUACCAGCAGAAGAAGCCCCGGCUAACUCCGUG
rnacentral:rRNA from 1 species